CAUUGUUUUGUAUCCUUUGCAUCAAGUGUCAGUGAUGAGUUAAAUCACUCGAAGUUUGAAUGCACCUGGGAGGAUGACCGCGAAUGGAGUGACCUCGAUAUCCAAGGGCGGGGCUGUAAUGAGGUGGUACACCCGUGGACCAUGACGGCUACAGCCAUCCUGCGUGUUCUUAGUGCAGCACCUUUAUAUACGUUCUUUCUAGGUAAAAUAACCCCUAAUAACAAGGGCAAUUUACAGCUUUGGUCCAUUAGAGGGAAAAAGGUGAUCAAGAAGAAAUCAUUGUUCUGCUUGGGAACAAAACUGAUGUUGUUGACAAGAGCUCUGCCUGCUCAAGGUCGGUCGUGA
rnacentral:lncRNA from 1 species